rnacentral:rRNA from 1 species
CGCCUGUUUAUCAAAAACAUGGCCUCUUGAGAAACAUGGGGGGUCGUGCCUUCCCGGUGGGUACAAGAGCCUAAACGGACGCGGUAAAUCGUGCUAAGGUAGCUAAAUUAUGGCCUAUUAAUUGUAGGUCCUGUGAAUGGUUUGACGAGUCCUCUACUGUCUCAAGGUUGUUUUGGUGAACUUGAAUGGAACGUGCAAAUGCUUUCAUGAGAGAGAAAGACGAGAAGACCCCGUGAAGUUAGAAAUUCCCGCUAUAACGAGAAGUCCCUCUUAAUGUAAUUAAUUGUAAGUCGUGGGGAAAUAUGGUUGGUGAGUUUUAGCUGGGGCAGCUAAGGGGCAAGCCUAGACCCCUUUUAUCUUUAAACGGGUGCGUUACGAUCCACAGAAAUGAAUGUUGUGAUUAGCAGAAGGAGUUACUCCGGGGAUAACAGCGUAGUCCGCCUUGAUAGUUCGUAUAGAUGGGCGGGUUCGCGACCUCGAUGUUGGCUCUGGAUAUCCUGAAGCUUGCAGGCGGUUUCAAGGGUUGGUUCGUUCGCCCAUUAAAAUCCAACGUGAUCUGAGUUCAGACCGG